GUUCGGUGGUGUAGUGGUUAUCAUGUCUGCUUUACACGCAGAAGGUCCCCGGUUCGAACCCGGGCCGAACCA
rnacentral:tRNA from 1 species